rnacentral:rRNA from 1 species
GAUGAACGCUGGCGGCGUGCCUAAUACAUGCAAGUCGAGCGAACAGACGAGGAGCUUGCUCCUCUGACGUUAGCGGCGGACGGGUGAGUAACACGUGGAUAACCUACCUAUAAGACUGGGAUAACUUCGGGAAACCGGAGCUAAUACCGGAUAAUAUAUUGAACCGCAUGGUUCAAUAGUGAAAGACGGUUUUGCUGUCACUUAUAGAUGGAUCCGCGCCGCAUUAGCUAGUUGGUAAGGUAACGGCUUACCAAGGCAACGAUGCGUAGCCGACCUGAGAGGGUGAUCGGCCACACUGGAACUGAGACACGGUCCAGACUCCUACGGGAGGCAGGAGUAGGGAAUCUUCCGCAAUGGGCGAAAGCUUGACGGAGCAACGCCGCGUGAGUGAUGAAGGUCUUCGGAUCGUAAAACUCUGUUAUUAGGGAAGAACAAAUGUGUAAGUAACUAUGCACGUCUUGACGGUACCUAAUCAGAAAGCCACGGCUAACUACGUG